GGAAGCGCCUGCUCACCUGGUGGUGGCCGCGGUCUUCAAAACCGUCGCACCGUGCCUCGAGCGCGGUGGGUGGGUUCGAUUCCCAUGCGCUUCCGC
rnacentral:tRNA from 1 species